UACGUAGGGACCAAGCGUUGUUCGGAUUUACUGGGCGUAAAGGGCGCGUAGGCGGCGUGGUAAGUCAGCUGUGAAAUCUCCGAGCUUAACUCGGAACGGUCAGCUGAUACUGCUGUGCUAGAGUACAGAAGGGGCAAUCGGAAUUCUUGGUGUAGCGGUGAAAUGCGUAGAUAUUGGGAAGAACACCGAUGGCGAAGGCAGCCAUCUGGACCGACACUGACGCUGAGGCGCGAAAGCGUGGGGAGCAAACAGG
rnacentral:rRNA from 1 species